GAGACGCUGCGAUUCUGGAGGCCGCCGUCCAGCCUGCCCCAGGGUUGCUGCGCUCCCGGGUUUCCGGCCGCUCCUCCCGCUCCUCGCCUUGUCUGGUCGCCCCUUCGCCUGGGCAAAGGUCUUCUCCUUUCUUAAGGUUCUGGAGGAUCUACCUACUCUGAAAUCACUACCCCACAAGAGCAAUGGUCUCAGGGGAGAGAGUCUGUCAGCCUGGAGGAGUGAGUGCACCCAGAUACCAGGUGAAUCCUCACUCUUGCUGAGCCAAAGAGACUGAGGCACAAGGGUAAAAGGGAACUGUGAGAGAUGUAGACAGUCUAUCCUCGAGCAACUUUCCAGGCAGUAGAGGCUGGAUUACAGAAGAAUUCCUUAGAACACCUGGGCAAAUUCUGAAUUUACUGAUGCUCAGCAAAAAUCCCUGCCCCAAAUGGUCUGACUUGCCCACAAGGGCCCCAAUUCUGGGGCCUCAAGGAGUGCCACACAGAUCAGAGGGGAAGCUAACCCAGGCCUCUUUGACACAGGAACCAUCUUCCUCAGAUUGCCUUCAUUCCAGAUCAAAAGUUUCAUCUUGAGGAUGGGAACAUGCUGGCAUGUCGGGCAGGGCUAGAUCCUGCGGGCUCAGCUCCUAGGAUGGAAACACAAGCCUUGCCCUUGGGAACCCGAUUUCAUCUCCAUGGAAGGUUCUCUUGACAUGGAGCAGGAGGUCUGCCCACCAGCCAAUCACACCAGCAAGGACAGCAGCUUUGCCUGUUUUGUUUUGUUUUCACAGAAGAGUACAUUUCACAGAACAGUAGCACCAGUCUUUGUGAACUGUUUCUCCACAUUUUGAAAACCACAGCCAUCUUUUUGCCUGACCCGCAUUUGUUGAAAACUUUAAUGGGUGGCCAGCAUGGACGGAAAUUACCCUGUCUCUAAUUCCAUUUUCAUCAUCAAAUCCAACAAUGACUCAUUAUGGGUUGAAACGUUUAUUCAGAACUGCUGAAAAAGUACAGCUAGUUGGACAGCUAGAGAGCCUUUUUCAUUUCAAUGGGAAAUAAACACUGAAUUCUGAUGGUAACAGGCUACGUUCUGCCUUGAAACCAGGCAUCACACACGUGUGAUUUCAGGAAAACCUGAAGGCCUUAUUCAGGUUAAAGUGAGCCAGAAAUGUAACAGCUCAGAGGUGUGUGCAAUUUUAGAUUGAGUGAGUGUUCUCAUUAUAAGGUAAAAAUAGAAAUACCUAGAAAAUAUUAUUGUGUUGUUCUGAGGUAAAGCGAAGAACAAGACUGUGUGACUUCAGUUUCUUCUGGAAUCCUUUUGAGAGCUAGAUGUUUGUGAAGUCCUAAGUAGAAAAAUGAUGAAUGAAGAUAAAUGAUUUGUGAAAUUGUACACCAUGUUGAAAAAUAAACAUUUUGCAAAAGAAAAAAAAUGAAAAACAAAACAAAACAAAACAAGAAAAACUUCUGGGAAAGAAAGAAGUUGGAGUUGGAGUCCACAGAAGGAAAAUAGCUUCACCUCUCUUCCCUAUGCCCUCAACCACAACAGUGAAAGUAAACGAACUGUGCUGCAGAUAUUAGAAUUAUUUUAGAGCCUUCAUAUUGUAUUUUCAUCCCUCAAAAAUGAUCAUUUUCCUCUUUCCCUUUUAGAAUAAGUAAGGCUGGGAUGCCUGAGUGGCUCAGUUGAUUGAGCGUCUGACUUUGACUGAAGUCAUGAUCUCCCAGCUUGUGGUUUCCAGCCCCACAUGGGGCUCUGUGCUGACAGCUCAGAGCCUGGAACCUGCUUCGGAUUCUAUGUCUCCCCCUCUCUCUCCCUCCCCUGCUCACACUCUGUCUCUCUUUCAAAAUAAAAAUAAAGACUUUUAAAAAAAAAAAUUUAGAAUGAGUAAAAAUAUUUACACAUGAAAAUACUAUUCUUGAAAUUCCAGAGGAAAACGCAGUUCAAACCAUCUUCAAAUUCUUGCCAACUUUUCCUAUUUUCCUUUUCGAAAAGAGCGCUGACCUCCCCUCUCCUAACUGACAACGGGGAAGGAACGUUUUCAAGAGAUACAUGAUAAAUUAGCUUUGCUGCUCCACCUUCACCUUUGAACAAAGAGGUUUCUAAUACUGAGGUGUCUGGUUGCUUUUUCUCAUUCUUUGAUGUUUCAAAUAGGCCGGAAGGAAAUCUAGGACAACUCCCCUCAGCCCCACCCCCACCCCCACCCAAAUCCUGAGUUAAUACAGCAGACGGUGUGGAGGGAGGCCAUUCUUCAUCUUUCAUACCUGUAAUUGUUUGCAGGGCACUGCACAGCCUUCAAGGGCUGACUGAUAGGGUGUCCACUUAAGAACACAUGCUGUCACAAUCAGCUGGGAAGGAGAGAAGCCCAGAAAAGGCCUGUGAUGACCUCUGGCCACUCAAAGUUCUCUCAGUCAGAACUACCAGAUAUGAGAAGGAAGCCACACCCACAUGUGCCAGAACCUUAGCUCUCUGUGUGAGACCUAACCAAUAGGACUAAUUAAUUCUGCCUAAAGUAGAAUUAGCCCCAGUAGUAGCUGAGCCUUAAAGAAUGCUAAGGGUCAAAUAUUUACUUGAUUGUGUCUUCAUCAUAACUGUUAGAAUCAACGUGAUAGAACUGGAGAAAUACCUUUGAAAGCUCUAAACACUGUUAAUGAUGAAUAGAAUAAGAAUAACGCACCAAUAUUGCUUUCAGGACAUGACUAUACAGGGGUUAAGUGAUGGCAGAGGCUAGUCGGAUGGAAAAACAGAGGCUCAAAUAUCACAGUUACUUUCUUACUUUUUGAGGAUUCUUGGGUGUAUUUAUUGCAUAUGGAAAAAAAUAUGGAAAAUCAUAGAUAUAAGUAACAUGAUAGCCAAGACCAGUUCAUGAGGAUGAGCUCAGGUAAAAGCUGUUAAAGCCCAUCUCCCUCCCCUCAAAGCAAAACUUUGCACUGCCCUUCCUGGCUCCAUCUUCUCUCCCUUACAAUCACCGGAACAAUCAACCAAUGUGCCACAGUAAACUUAAUAAGAUGUUGUUAACAGAGGAGAGAGCUUUUGGUACCUGUCUGUAGGAGUGUCAUUUAGGGAGCUGACCUUUCUUCCUGGAGCCCUUGAGAUGCCUGAGGUAUGAAGGUCUAGUUAAUUCGCAUUUGAAAGCCUCUAUCAGCAUCCAUCACCAAGGAUACUAUGCAGAACCAUGUGUGUGCACCUCAAAGGCCAGCAUUGAUUCAUCAAAGUUACGGCAAACAGCAAGACUGCAGAGUCUCAAGAUAGAACAUGAUAUAAGAUAGGCUCUAGCAAUACAGGAUAGUCUAGGCCCUCCAAACAUGUUAAAUAAAGAAACCAAAGGCAUAAUCCUUGGUAGGGGGGCAGAGGGAUGUGGGAGAAAAGAAUGCAAGGCAAAGUAUUGACUCAGAUAUGAGUAAAUUGACUGACCAUUUCCAUAUUCUCUAUCUCACCUCAAAACCUUGACAUAAUGUGGCUGGCUCUCUCUCUACUAAAUGUUUGCUCACGGUGAAUUCCUACCUUUCCCUUUAUGUCCAACCCAAUAACCGCUUAGCCUGUAAGAUUCAUCGUGGUAUUUCAUUUCCCUUUGAAAUUUAUCUUUCUGGGAAGCUUAGGCAAUGGUUAUAUUUGUUUCUAGCCUCCAAGUUAAAAGGAGGGGCACCUGGGUGGCUUAGAUGGUUAAGCUUCCAACUUGGGCUCAGGUCAUGAUCUUGUGGUUUGUGAGUUCGAGCCCCAUGUCAGGCUCCAUGCUGAAAGCUCAGAGCCUGGAGCCUGCUUCGGAUUCUGUCUCCCUCUCUCUCUGCCCCUACCCUACUCAUACUCUGUCUCUCUCUCUCUCUUUUUCUCAAAAAUAAACAUUAAAGAAAUUUUUUUUAAAAAAGGAGUCUUGGUCGUUAGGUGCUGAGCAUUACAAGUAGAAUACAGGUGUGGUAAUGGUGAAGGUAUGGUAGCCCACCAUCACUGUGGUCAAGACCUGGGCUUUCGACAGGAAGUACUCCUACCCUAGCCCCUCCCCCACUGACUAGCAAUAUGAUCUUAGGUCAAGCAAGUAUUCAGCGCUCUAAGAUAUUCUCACCUGGAAAUUGGGGAUAAUAAAAGAAGUUACCAUGUAGAGUAAUGGUGAAGAUAAAAUGAAAUAAGG